GACGAACGCUGGCGGCGUGCUUAACACAUGCAAGUCGAACGGAAAGGCCCUGCUUUUGUGGGGUGCUCGAGUGGCGAACGGGUGAGUAACACGUGAGUAACCUGCCCUUGACUUUGGGAUAACUUCAGGAAACUGGGGCUAAUACCGGAUAGGAGCUCCUGCUGCAUGGUGGGGGUUGGAAAGUUUCGGCGGUUGGGGAUGGACUCGCGGCUUAUCAGCUUGUUGGUGGGGUAGUGGCUUACCAAGGCUUUGACGGGUAGCCGGCCUGAGAGGGUGACCGGCCACAUUGGGACUGAGAUACGGCCCAGACUCCUACGGGAGGCAGCAGUGGGGAAUAUUGCACAAUGGGCGGAAGCCUGAUGCAGCAACGCCGCGUGCGGGAUGACGGCCUUCGGGUUGUAAACCGCUUUCGCCUGUGACGAAGCGUGAGUGACGGUAAUGGGUAAAGAAGCACCGGCUAACUACGUGCCAGCAGCCGCGGUGAUACGUAGGGUGCGAGCGUUGUCCGGAUUUAUUGGGCGUAAAGGGCUCGUAGGUGGUUGAUCGCGUCGGAAGUGUAAUCUUGGGGCUUAACCCUGAGCGUGCUUUCGAUACGGGUUGACUUGAGGAAGGUAGGGGAGAAUGGAAUUCCUGGUGGAGCGGUGGAAUGCGCAGAUAUCAGGAGGAACACCAGUGGCGAAGGCGGUUCUCUGGGCCUUUCCUGACGCUGAGGAGCGAAAGCGUGGGGAGCGAACAGGCUUAGAUACCCUGGUAGUCCACGCUGUAAACGGUGGGUACUAGGUGUGGGGUCCAUUCCACGGGUUCCGUGCCGUAGCUAACGCUUUAAGUACCCCGCCUGGGGAGUACGGCCGCAGGGCUAAAACUCAAAGGAAUUGACGGGGCCCCGCACAAGCGGCGGAGCAUGCGGAUUAAUUCGAUGCAACGCGUAGAACCUUACCUGGGUUUGACAUGGAUCGGGAGUGCUCAGAGAUGGGUGUGCCUCUUUUGGGGUCGGUUCACAGGUGGUGCAUGGCUGUCGUCAGCUCGUGUCGUGAGAUGUUGGGUUAAGUCCCGCAACGAGCGCAACCCUUGUUCACUGUUGCCAGCACGUUAUGGUGGGGACUCAGUGGAGACCGCCGGGGUCAACUCGGAGGAAGGUGGGGAUGACGUCAAGUCAUCAUGCCCCUUAUGUCCAGGGCUUCACGCAUGCUACAAUGGCUGGUACAGAGAGUGGCGAGCCUGUGAGGGUGAGCGAAUCUCGGAAAGCCGGUCUCAGUUCGGAUUGGGGUCUGCAACUCGACCUCAUGAAGUCGGAGUCGCUAGUAAUCGCAGAUCAGCAACGCUGCGGUGAAUACGUUCCCGGG
rnacentral:rRNA from 1 species